AGAGUCAAAUCAUAUUAAAAUCACACUGAUAUUCUUUGGUGGUGAAAAUAGUGAGAGUAUAUGUUUUUUUUAUGUUCAGAUAUAUCAGUGUCCUGAAAUCUAUUCAUCAAUGGAUGUUUCAUUAUUAGAAAUGACACAUUUUCCAAGUAUUGCUUGUAGAUAGACAGAUGCAUAUUACAAAUAUUAUAGUAGACUGACCAGACCAGUUUAAAAAGCAGUAUCAGUCAAAAGACAGACAGUGAGGAAUCAGAUUUAGAUUGUAUUGAGAAUACAGUCCUCACCAUAUCUAUUUAGACAUUGAGGUAUCAGAUUUAGAUUGUAUUGAGAAUACAGUCCUCACCAUAUCUAUUUAGACAGUGAGGAAUCAGAUUUAGAUUGUAUUGAGAAUACAGUCCUCACCAUAUCUAUUUAGACAUUGAGGUAUCAGAUUUAGAUUGUAUUGAGUAUACAGUCCACACCAUAUCUAUUUAGACAGUGAGGAAUCAGAUUUAGAUUGUAUUGAGUAUACAGUCCACACCAUAUCUAUUUAGACAGUGAGGUAUCAGAUUUAGAUUGUAUUGAGUAUACAGUCCACACCAUAUCUAUUUAGUCAGUGAGGUAUCAGAUUUAGAUUGUAUUGAGUAUACAGUCCACAUCAUAUCUAUUUAGACAGUGAGGAAUCAGAUUUAGAUUGUAUUGAGUAUACAGUCCACACCAUAUCUAUUUAGACAGUGAGGUAUCAGAUUUAGAUUGUAUUGAGAAUACAGUCCUCACCAUAUCUAUUUAGACAUUGAGGUAUCAGAUUUAGAUUGUAUUGAGUAUACAGUCCACACCAUAUCUAUUUAGACAGUGAGGAAUCAGAUUUAGAUUGUAUUGAGUAUUCAGUCCACACCAUAUCUAUUUAGACAGUGAGGAAUCAGAUUUAGAUUGUAUUGAGAAUACAGUCCACACCAUAUCUAUUUAGACAGUGAGGUAUCAGAUAUAGAUUGUAUUGAGAAUACAGUCCACACCAUAUCUAUUUAGCCAGUGAGGUAUCAGAUUUAGAUUGUAUUGAGUAUACAGUCCACACCAUAUCUAUUUAGUCAGUGAGGUAUCAGAUUUAGAUUGUAUUGAGUAUACAGUCCACAUCAUAUCUAUUUAGACAGUGAGGAAUCAGAUUUAGAUUGUAUUGAGUAUACAGUCCACACCAUAUCUAUUUAGACAGUGAGGUAUCAGAUUUAGAUUGUAUUGAGUAUACAGUCCACACCAUAUCUAUUUAGACAGUGAGGUAUCAGAUUUAGAUUGUAUUGAGUAUACAGUCCACACCAUAUCUAUUUAGACAGUGAGUAUCAGAUUUAGAUUGUAUUGAGUAUACAGUCCACACCAUAUCUAUUUAGACAGUGAGGUAUCAGAUUUAGAUUGUAUUGAGUAUACAGUCCACACCAUAUCUAUUUAGACAGUAAGGUAUCAGAUUUAGAUUGUAUUGAGUAUACAGUCCACACCAUAUCUAUUUAGACAGUGAGGUAUCAGAUUUAGAUUGUAUUGAGUAUACAGUCCACACCAUAUCUAUUUAGACAGUGAGGUAUCAGAUUUAGAUUGUAUUGAGUAUACAGUCCACACCAUAUCUAUUUAGACAGUGAGUAUCAGAUUUAGAUUGUAUUGAGUAUACAGUCCACACCACAUCUAUUUAGACAGUGAAGCUAACAUUUUAAAUGUGUCUCUAUUCUCCAACAUUUUGGAUUUCAGAUCAAAUGUUUCAU